rnacentral:rRNA from 1 species
CUGGGAACUGCCUGAUGGAGGGGGAUAACUACUGGAAACGGUAGCUAAUACCGCAUAACGUCGCAAGACCAAAGAGGGGGACCUUCGGGCCUCUUGCCAUCGGAUGUGCCCAGAUGGGAUUAGCUAGUAGGUGGGGUAACGGCUCACCUAGGCGACGAUCCCUAGCUGGUCUGAGAGGAUGACCAGCCACACUGGAACUGAGACACGGUCCAGACUCCUACGGGAGGCAGCAGUGGGGAAUAUUGCACAAUGGGCGCAAGCCUGAUGCAGCCAUGCCGCGUGUAUGAAGAAGGCCUUCGGGUUGUAAAGUACUUUCAGCGGGGAGGAAGGGAGUAAAGUUAAUACCUUUGCUCAUUGACGUUACCCGCAGAAGAAGCACCGGCUAACUCCGUGCCAGCAGCCGCGGUAAUACGGAGGGUGCAAGCGUUAAUCGGAAUUACUGGGCGUAAAGCGCACGCAGGCGGUUUGUUAAGUCAGAUGUGAAAUCCCCCGGG